UAGGGAAUCUUCGGCAAUGGGGGGAACCCUGACCGAGCAACGCCGCGUGAGUGAAGAAGGUUUUCGGAUCGUAAAGCUCUGUUGUUAAUGAAUAACGAGUGUGAGAAUGGAAAGUUCAUACUGUGACGGUACUUAACCAGAAAGGGACGGCUAACUACGUGCCAGCAGCCGCGGUAAUACGUAGGUCCCGAGCGUUGUCCGGAUUUAUUGGGCGUAAAGCUAGCGCAGGCGGUUAGAUAAGUCUGAAGUUAAAGGCAGUGGCUCAACCAUUGUAGGCUUUGGAAACUGUUUAACUUGAGUGCAGAAGGGGAGAGUGGAAUUCCAUGUGUAGCGGUGAAAUGCGUAGAUAUAUGGAGGAACACCGGUGGCGAAAGCGGCUCUCUGGUCUGUAACUGACGCUGAGGCUCGAAAGCGUGGGGAGCGAACAGG
rnacentral:rRNA from 1 species